CAGGUCCUACGGGGGGCAGCAGUGAGGAAUAUUGGUCAAUGGUCGGGAGACUGAACCAGCCAAGCCGCGUGAGGGAUGAAGGUACAGAGUAUCGUAAACCUCUUUUGUCAGGGAACAAAGGCGGGGACGCGUCCCCGGAUGAGUGUACCUGAAGAAAAAGCAUCGGCUAACUCCGUGCCAGCAGCCGCGGUAAUACGGAGGAUGCGAGCGUUAUCCGGAUUUAUUGGGUUUAAAGGGUGCGCAGGCGGUCUGUUAAGUCUGAUGUG
rnacentral:rRNA from 1 species